CUUUGAUUUGAUUUAGAUUUUGAUUUUGAUUUCCAGAUCAUUUAUGGGACUGGAUGCUCGGACUCGGACUGGGAUGCUCGGACUGGUCUGCAGCUCGGAGUUUCAAUUGUUUGAACUCUGGAUCAUAACUGAACGAACUGUCGCUCAGAUGCUGCAGCUCGUAGUGAGUCACAAACACACAACCUCACAUGCUCUUUUCUUUGUACCACUAAAAUUAAAUUAAGAAUGUGUUGAGUUGUUACUGUUGUCCAGCAGAGGGCAGCACAGACCCGCUGAUGCUAACUUCAAACCUUUGUCAAAAGGACGUGAUCGAAACUUCGUGUAAAACUUUUAGAACGUUGAGGAUUUUAGUUUUAAGCCGAAACAAAUAAUCAUCUUUCUUAAGUAAAAUCAACAUCUCACAGUAACACCCAGCAACGAGUAUCAUCAAUCAAUCAAAUUUUAUUUGUAUAGCCCAUAUUCACAAAUUACAAUUCGUCUCAUAGGGCUUUAACGCGCACACAAUGUAACACACACAGACACACACAUGAUUCAUGGAUCUCUUCAUACAUUAGAGGCUGGAACAGUGGAAGCAGAACUCCAGGUUUGUGAGGACUUCACGUAGACGGUUGUUUUUCUUAUUAAACUUUAAUCUCAUUUAAAACGAUAAUUAUAAAA